rnacentral:rRNA from 1 species
AGAGUUUGAUCCUGGCUCAGGACGAACGCUGGCGGCGUGCCUAAUACAUGCAAGUCGAGCGGACAGAUGGGAGCUUGCUCCCUGAUGUUAGCGGCGGACGGGUGAGUAACACGUGGGUAACCUGCCUGUAAGACUGGGAUAACUCCGGGAAACCGGGGCUAAUACCGGAUGGUUGUUUGAACCGCAUGGUUCAAACAUAAAAGGUGGCUUCGGCUACCACUUGCAGAUGGACCCGCGGCGCAUUAGCUAGUUGGUGAGGUAAUGGCUCACCAAGGCAACGAUGCGUAGCCGACCUGAGAGGGUGAUCGGCCACACUGGGACUGAGACACUGCCCAGACUCCUACGGGAGGCAGCAGUAGGGAAUCUUCCGCAAUGGACGAAAGUCUGACGGAGCAACGCCGCGUGAGUGAUGAAGGUUUUCGGAUCGUAAAGCUCUGUUGUUAGGGAAGAACAAGUGCCGUUCGAAUAGGGCGGUACCUUGACGGUACCUAACCAGAAAGCCACGGCUAACUACGUGCCAGCAGCCGCGGUAAUACGUAGGUGGCAAGCGUUGUCCGGAAUUAUUGGGCGUAAAGGGCUCGCAGGCGGUUUCUUAAGUCUGAUGUGAAAGCCCCCGGCUCAACCGGGGAGGGUCAUUGGAAACUGGGGAACUUGAGUGCAGAAGAGGAGAGUGGAAUUCCACGUGUAGCGGUGAAAUGCGUAGAGAUGUGGAGGAACACCAGUGGCGAAGGCGACUCUCUGGUCUGUAACUGACGCUGAGGAGCGAAAGCGUGGGGAGCGAACAGGAUUAGAUACCCUGGUAGUCCACGCCGUAAACGAUGAGUGCUAAGUGUUAGGGGGUUUCCGCCCCUUAGUGCUGCAGCUAACGCAUUAAGCACUCCGCCUGGGGAGUACGGUCGCAAGACUGAAACUCAAAGGAAUUGACGGGGGCCCGCACAAGCGGUGGAGCAUGUGGUUUAAUUCGAAGCAACGCGAAGAACCUUACCAGGUCUUGACAUCCUCUGACAAUCCUAGAGAUAGGACGUCCCCUUCGGGGGCAGAGUGACAGGUGGUGCAUGGUUGUCGUCAGCUCGUGUCGUGAGAUGUUGGGUUAAGUCCCGCAACGAGCGCAACCCUUGAUCUUAGUUGCCAGCAUUCAGUUGGGCACUCUAAGGUGACUGCCGGUGACAAACCGGAGGAAGGUGGGGAUGACGUCAAAUCAUCAUGCCCCUUAUGACCUGGGCUACACACGUGCUACAAUGGACAGAACAAAGGGCAGCGAAACCGCGAGGUUAAGCCAAUCCCACAAAUCUGUUCUCAGUUCGGAUCGCAGUCUGCAACUCGACUGCGUGAAGCUGGAAUCGCUAGUAAUCGCGGAUCAGCAUGCCGCGGUGAAUACGUUCCCGGGCCUUGUACACACCGCCCGUCACACCACGAGAGUUUGUAACACCCGAAGUCGGUGAGGUAACCUUUUAGGAGCCAGCCGCCGAAGGUGGGACAGAUGAUUGGGGUGAAGUCGUAACAAGGUA